AUCCAGCUGAAGCGUCCCACAUAGGACAAAACAGGCGUCCUGGAU
rnacentral:hammerhead_ribozyme from 1 species